AACGAACGCUGGCGGCAUGCCUAACACAUGCAAGUCGAACGAGACCUUCGGGUCUAGUGGCGCACGGGUGCGUAACGCGUGGGAACCUGCCCUUAGGUUCGGAAUAACUCCCCGAAAGGGGUGCUAAUACCGGUUAAUGUCUUCGGACCAAAGAUUUAUCGCUUUUGGAUGGGCCCGCGUUGGUUUCGCCAGUUGGUAGGGUAAAAGCCUACCAAGGCGACGUUCCAUAGCUGGUCUGGGACGAUGAUCAGCCACACUGGAGCUGAGACACGGCCCAGACUCCUACGGGAGGCAGCAGUGGGUAAUAUUGGACAAUGAGCGAUAGCCUAAUAAAGCAAUGCCGCGUGAGUGAUGAAGGCCUUAGGGUUGUAAAGCUCUUUUACCCGGGAUGAUAAUGACAGUACCGGGAGAAUAAGCUCCGGCUAACUCCGUG
rnacentral:rRNA from 1 species